GAGAAGGAAGGCGUCACCUCUUCCCGUCUUAUCAGAAACUGCGCGAAACUGCAGUUGUCCUUCCAGGUGCACACGGGUCAGACUGCCUGCCUUAUGGUCUGCUAACCCUAGCUAUCUUGUACGCCUCGAACUCCGCCCAAAGACCGACGAUGCUCAGCGGUUUUGACGGAGGGCCUCACUUUUUCUGACGUAUCUUCGCAUCAGGAUGGACGUUCGUGUGAAGUCAUACUGAAGGACCAUGGCCUCUCGGUCACUCUAGCCACUCUUGCACCACUCAACUUUCAACUAGAGGCACACAUGCACACGAUCGCUCUCUCUCUCUCGACCUGUCUCCGCAGAGGGGAGCGAUCGAGGGGCCGUGGUCGAACUCUCUUCAUGGGCCAGUACAACACUACUCACCGUGUCCAGUAUCCUGCUCUACGGUGCGAGACACCACAAUUCGUUUAAUGCUCACGAGCUUUUCAAAUUUCGAAAGAAAAUGCAAGUACCAAAGUUCCACCAAAUACAUAUUGAGAAUGCGUUGACGCGUCUGGCUGUGGGAGUACUCUUGUCCAACUCAUUUGUUUUCCUCCACCGCCCUCUUGGCGGCCGUGGGUUUCGGUACGUAUCGUUCCACUGCUUCUCUGCUAUUGUUCAGAGCAUUUCCAGAGCGUCAUUGCUUUGUUUUAUUUUUAUUUAUUUUUUAGUAUUCAACUUUCAUCUCUCGCCGGGUCUCCUCCAGCAGAUCGAACUACGAUUUCAGGAGCAUGCUUCUCCCCAGCUUCCUUUGCGUUUGUUCUUAAUAUCUUGUAGCCAGGCCUGUGAACUCCAUUCCCAAAGGGCACACCUAUCAGUCCACACUUUAUCUGUGGGUAAUACGUGCUCAUCCGAUAAGUUAAUUACUGGCAUUCUGUGCAGUAUAUGUACGUCUUGGUACUUGAUGCUGAUCGACACAGGGUCUCCGCCAAAAAUCGUUUCCAAUCUUUCGUACGCGGUAGGUUCAAUGUCCGGUUCGCUGAACAUCAUUAUCCCCCUCAGGUGACAAUCUUGAAAUGUGAACUGUGUGCCCCUGUUGAAGUUACGUAAGAAAUCUGCAUUUAAGUAGAAGUAACACAUAUAGAUAAUUAGAAAGGUCUUUCCUGCGGACAGCGGUGAAAAGAUACAAAGCGCUUCUUCUUCUUAGGGUAGGCAAGUCCACAUACCGCAGCUAACUCAUGCAAGAAUCGCAUGGAUUCCUCUUGACAUUGACAGAAGACGAGACGCUCUAAAAUAUCUACGGACUCUUCUAUAGAGACAAGUAUAGAUUACGAGCAGGGUGAACCGAGGAGCAAUGGCCACGUUAGUAUAAUAUUCCUCGUAGUCGCGGAAAGUCCAUCCUUUAGUAAGAGUGCGAAAGCUAUGUACAGCUAAAGCGUAAGCAGGAUAACCGCGAUUAAGCAUGGCACAUUCCGUUUAAAUCCAUUCGACUGUGCCGCAGGACGAUAUGAGUGAGGAAAAUGCCAAAACGUAAAAUCAUAACCCAUAAUUAGAUUAUAUUGAAAAUAUAUAUACACGUGCACUUUAGUGACUCGCAGUUGUUGUUGUUUUUUUUCUUCUUCUUCUUUCUUUGAGUUGGCCCUGGAGUCGGUCGAUCAUUUGGUGGAUCUCUGCCUGCAUCUGUGGUGUUUCCGGGUCCCAGUCUAUCGGAACAAUACACUAAGUGUGCGGAGUCUUCCAGCGCUCCUCGCGAGGUAGCUGAUGGUACCGAUCCCUCUCCAAAAGCUCUGAUUCGUACAGCACCCAAUGUCGAUAUGUUGUCCCCAGUUGUGAACGCAUACAAAUCGCCUUGGUGGUGGCGUGAAAUACUCCAGGGUGUCGAUGAGGUGUUGUUCCAUGAGAUCGCGAAUGGACGUACCCAAGCGCGAGCUGCGGCUAACGAUGGUGUUUCAUAGGAUCCGGCACCGACAGUACCUGUUGGAGUAUGCGCAUAUGUGGAGCAGGUGGAAGUGGUCCCGUCCAUCACAGACGAUGUUUUUAAUUUCUUGAAGGGAGGAUCCGAUAGCUGUUUCCCGGCAGGUGAAAUACUUUUCUGUGAAUACGAAUGGUCUGUAUUUGCUGUCGCCUCCGUUGAAGCUGAUGAAGAAGAAGUCGUCGGUUGUUAAUCAAGUUAAUCAAGAAUGUGAGAAACUGCAUAAACUCCUGUCGUUCUGCAUAAACUACCCCACAGUCUCAAGGACAAGAGAGAAAUGGCGACUCCCUCUCCAGGGGAUGCCUAGAUCCCCUCAUCUGCAGAGUCUAAACUCCCUUCGGCCAGAGGACAUAGGUGAUCCCCUCGCUGGAAAUGUUUCCAGAAGAUUCGGAACCAUCUGGGUAGGCGUUGGUUAUCCGUGAAGAGACACCAGAGGAUCGAGUGGCAUGUAUUGCUAGGAGUUUCACCCAGGUAACCUCCGCGUCUCACUUCGGUCUCGAAUAACACAAAAUAUAAGGUCGUUACAACCUGCCACUGAACAUGCCUCAAUUCAUUGGUAUCACAUACGACAGACAAUUCUGUGUACGGUAAUUACUAUAAUUACAAGCCCUACGCAGACACGGUACGAACUAGUCAUGUGUGGUGGCACAUUUGGCUGCUUGUCGCCCUUGGGCAAUAAAACACCAAAACCAACAAACAUACUUCACGUUUCCGAACUCAUUUGUGCCCGUGCUGUCGCUCGCGCACUGGAGUUGGCUGAACGUUCUGCGAUGAAGGCUCGCACAUGCGAAGAUAAUCGACGCCUGAUGAGAAGCUUACUUGGGCAUCCUGCAGUUUCGAUUGGGGUUUCGUGGUAAAUCAGUUGAACCAACCAGAGGUCUUAUUAAACUGUUUCGACACUCUUGCUGCUGUAUAAACAAUCUUAAAAUGUUGGGUCACAUGGGAACACUGUCCGAGCCGAGUAUUCGCUUUGAUGGAGGCAUUGAGUUCUAAGUCCACUUUUUCGAUGUUGUAAACGAGCAGACUACAGGAGCACUAUGGAAAGUGUUGGACGCACCUGCGUCAAUGGGCCUAUGCAGUGCAUUCACUAUCGAAUUUGAUCCGUCAGCUUCAUUUCUUUCCACAUGACCGGUGGCUUUUACAGUGACUCAUCACUGCAAGGCUGUUGGAUCUCGUGAAGCGUAGGCUUCUUUAGGUAUGCGUUUUGCCGAAGUGCUUUGGGCAAAACGAUUGACGGGAGCAGAAGGGUGUUGCCUAGCGGGUGCAUAACUGUGAAGAGGAUGAUCCCAGAGAAAAGGAUAAACACACAAGCUUUCUCACACAUGUGAUGUGUUGCUGACAGUUGCGACGCAGUACACAAAGGGCGAGACAGACGAUGUCGCACCUUUGUCUCGUCCUUUGUGUACUGCGUCGCAACUGUCAGCAAUAUGUACUAGAGUCACUAAAUAGGGAGCAUAGUAGCGACACUGAGCCACGUCGGCGAGCGAGCCCGCCAUUUUGAGUCAGGCGCGGCUGCGUCGCCUAGCAAUGGGACGCCAGUUCCCCCUCCUCCGGUGGAGAACAACGCGCAGUCGAGCCACCUCGCAACCCAGGAAACCGGUUUUGGAUGGAGGUAACUCAACAUGGACGGCGAGUUCUUGGAAGGAGAAACCACGUGGCACGUUCGGCCCAAUCGCAGACACUGAACGGCGGCUUCGGCGGGGAAAAGGAAUGCGAUACUCUGUACCCCUAUUUAGUGACACUAAUAUGUACCAACUUGCCCGGUAUUUGUUACAAUGUGUUGUGUGUUCUAGGGGCGGGUCUAAGAUUUUCCCGAGGGGGGGGGGGGUCCAUGUGGACAAAUGCCACGUGCAUUCUGGGAUUGGUCCGCUGAACCCUGUGUUCAAGUCUGUAAUUGAGGGGGUCCGGACCCCUGCCCCCCCCCUACAUCCGCGCCUGGUGUGUUCAUCCUUGUUUCGUGUAUCAUCCUCUUCGCAGUGCUUUGAGAACCUGCCAGAAUGUUGAGUUGUGAAUUGGGGACUGUACACUCUUCCGAGAGUAUUUCAUGCUGGGGUAGAUAUGCUGCUCAUCUUGCCUAUAGACCUGUUGCUCUGGUCCAGGUGGCGCAAGUGAGCAGCAACAUCAGCGCCCCAAAUUAUGCAACACUCCCUAGUUUAGCAGACGACGCGGCACUUUCAAAUACACGGUCCCGAGUUGUUCGCAGUUUUCAAGAAGCACCGAUUUUUCUGUGGAUUUCCUACAGGUUUUGUAGCUUUCCUUGGCACCAUACCGCUUGAAACAUCAUGCAAAACCCGCUGAUGAAACUCCUUACUGUUUGGAUCCGUGGCCGCUUGGGCCAGAAAUGGCGCUGUGCAAACUUCAGUGCAACAGCCCUAUAGCGGUUCGUGAAUUUGUACCCCAUAGCUGUUCCACGUUUGGGACUUGACCAGGCUACGUUGUGCGAAACAACAUACCAAGUUUGUCACAUGUGAUAGCUGGUAACGGUACAACAUUCCUAAAUGCAGCACGAAGAACGCAGACUGAUGGGGCAAUUGCAGACACUACUUACUCUGCACAGAACACUGCCUGUUCUCAUUCCUUGGAGUGGUCGCGCAAGUGUUUCUUUUACUGAUAAUGACUCUCUGUAGCUCCUCUUACGUAUAGGAAUUGCAUGCAGCCAGGACCGACGUCAGUUCCACUUGUAACACCAUGUUAUGAAAAAAGACGAUUCCAUUAGAGCUUUGUCUUCUUUAAGAGACGCCGGAAGUUGCGUAGAAUGAAGAUAGACCUACUCAUACAAACCGCGUGUGGCGCGUGGAUGUGAGGUACACGGACGAUGAAUUCUUCUUCUUUAUAAGGCAGAACACAAGGCCUACUCUUUAGGCCUCUUUAUUGUGUUCUAGAUAUCAUGGAAUACUGUUUUUCUCCACACAGUGGCAGAGGGUGGUGUGUCGCUAUUCUUGUAAACAAUCUGAAAGGCAAGCUGACAGAACUCAUGUGCCAAUGUGCCCAAAUAUAUCUGAGUCCAGAGCUGUCCUUUAAUUUUCGGCUCCUACGAAGGUUUGUUCUCUGUCAUGGUUCUUUGCGUUGGCGUUGUUCAGACACACAAUACCAUGCACGGGUAGCCUUCACUCUCGAAGUCAGUGUAGGUGUUCGAUGAUGAUGAUUUCUGUAGCAGCUACUCUCAAAUCGAAAGAACUUCGGCAACAUUGUUGUUCUGUGUUUUACAGUACGUCAAAAGCCCCAGGAGGACAUUAAAACGUUUAAUGUCUUCCGGAAAUGUCUUCCGUUUAGUGCCUCCUUUUAAUGUACAUACACCUGGUAAUUCACAUGGUACAUGUAUACAGCGGUACAACGACGGAAGUAGACGACAAUUCCCGACGUGCCCCAUGCACCUUAGGUGGCGUUCAUCAAAUUUGCACUAAAAAUCCACUAGUUUUGCAGAUUGUGAGAGGUAUCCAUUUCAAUCCCAUCCAAUCCACUUGCCACGCAAAAUGGCGCUGCCAGUGUUGGAUAGGGGGACAAAUAGUGAGGAUAGGUCGAUUGAUAGCGUCCUAUAUUUCGACACCCGAUUCGUCAGAGAGCUGAAAAAGUGGCUGGAGCUUCUGGUAUAGGCAUGACCCAUUAAUGGCCAGACUUCCUUUUAAUAUACGGCUCUAGCGUACCCACAUGCGGUAGAGAUAUGCGCGGCCUCCUGCUGCUUGCUGCGCGUAUGCAUGCCGCCCCAGCUCUACUGCGUCCUCCCGCGACUCUCCACAGCGAGAGCUUCUGGUUCCGUGUUUGACAAGAUGGCGAACGACAUCGAAGUCGAGCUACUGACAAUAGUGAACGCUUCAGUUCUUACAUAUGAGCUUUUGCGAAAUCAACAUUGCAGACGCAAGAAACGUAGGCUUUGGGUUCACUCACUGUGGCGAUAGCGCAUUCUUUUCUUGCGAACAAUGUUUAGCUUUCAAAUUCCUGACACUAUCUAUGACGGUUAAUAUCUUACACUUUACCUACCUGCCCUCCCACAUUUUACUGCAGUGUCGGCCCAAAAAGCCAUUUUAGGGCAACGCCUUACAAUGUAGGCAGCAAUGACAUUUUAUUUUCUUCAUAAAUUCGCCGAUUGAAAAACGUGAGCACCACUGCGACAUACCUUCCAGUCAACGAUGCCGUCAAUGCUCUGCGUGCGGGAGGCUGGAAGUUAAACUGCAUGCUGAUUGUGUCUGGAGUUUGUGUUGCAGUCCGUAACAUAGUGCAAUAGAAAAAUACGGUCCUGUUUGUUCCAGCAUUGUUGUCCUAAGACGAGUCGUGGUGCUUCGUCGAAAGAAUAAAUAUAUAUGCAGAAACAACUGCCUAUAUGACACGUGGGGCAUGGUUGCGUGGGAUGCGUACCACGAGCUCUUCUUCGACAUAAAGCACACGGCAAUUCCUCUGGCUCCUUAAAACUUGUUUGUUGGGUUUUCAAUACCGUUCAGAAUGUUUUUUUUUUCUCUCUCUCUCUCUCCCUACAAUGGACUAUGAGUUCUUUCCUGCCAUUUCUGUAGACAAGGUGACGAGCAAAGUGACAUAGCUCGUGGACGAGGGUUCCAAUGAACCUGUUGGGCCAUAACUUGUCGGUUGUGGUUCUUGUCAUCUUUUAUAGAUGGGUAGAAAUCCAGCGAACCCAGAAGAAGAACAGUCUCUGUUCGAAAUAUCGGCGGCUUCUGUCCUGAGGCAACUCCCUUCCUACUUGUCUUCUUUUAGCUUUGCCAGCUUUGAGGUUCUGUUCUUCAUCACAAGCGGCGCACAUGGGUGCAAGGAAAGCACAUUAUAUCCACUUAUCACAUCGAAUCAAGCUUCGGUCGCUUUUCUGUCAGAAAAUCAUCAGUACUCUAAUCAUCGUAAUCAGCUGUGAUCUUUCACCAGACCACAUCAACCGUUCAGUACUGUACUGUACCAUUGAAUACUGUACCCUACUGAAAAAACUAUCAGCCAAGUUUCUGCUUGUUCAUCAGAAUUCUACUGAUGCCUGUAAAUUGGUGCAGACCAGGCGUGACGGCUUGAUGGGACCACCAAAUCGUAUGAGUGGUGUACUGAUUCCUAACAAAAGACUGGUCUCUAACACAAUUAUAAAACAUAUUUAUUUGAAGCACACAACGAUACAUACAGGUGAGGGUUGGACCAUCUCGAAGCUGGAACACGAAUCCUCUUUUCAGAUAGUUACUGUCCAACUACCAUAUUUUGUUCUUUUCUUGAGCUUCUCUCCUUUACGUUUACGGAUCGCACAUGAAGGUACCUGAAUAAUAGACAAAAGUGUCAGAAGAACAUCUGCUAACUAACAAUGAAAUAUACCAGAGCACAAGAUCACACGUACAGCAACCGCAAACAGAAUGCGGCAUGGUUUGAGCGAAAACGAAUGCACCAUCAUGACUGAACUUCGACGUAUAUUGGUGCUGCAACGGUAUUUUAUUUCAAGAAUCUUCGUGACUGGAAACUAACCGUGGAAAACUGCUGCGGCGUCCCAACAUAUAACCCCAUUGAAAAAAUGAACAAUAAAAGAAACAGUUGCCGCAGCAGCUUUUAGUUGCCGUGAUUUGGGACAUUUCUGGAGUUUUCCUCUCCAGUGUUAACAUCAUUCCCUCUUGUUCCACGUGUAUUUUACCUUAUGUUCAGGCACCCUGGUGUUUUUGGUGUGUGUGGUCUGAUGCUGCACACCACAAUUCCUGGUGUCUUUUAUUGCGCCAUUGUUGCGCAUUAUGCGGUCUCACGCAUUCCAUUCCUUGAUGUGCUCCUCAGCACUCCCUCGAGUCACUAAAAGCUGCUCAUGUUUUCAUGUGACACAGGUGGAGGAUAUUUCUUGAAUAACUGAACAAUGGCCAACGGGUGGGUCUUCCUUUUGGACAUCGUACGUGGACAUCCAGAAUGACAUUUAAUGGACGCCUUACGGGACGUUACCAUCGAGCUCUCCCUCUUCCUCAUGCAUGCUUCACUGCACUUCCACUGUGCACGAAGCGUGACAAUAUUUUACAACAGUUCAAUUGUGAACAGCACUUUUAUUUGAUAGACAAAACAAACGUUACAACGGACUAAUUGAUAUAAUCAGUUGCACAGAACACGCAAGAGCAAUGACACUGACCCCCCAAAAUAGCAUAAAACAGAAUAUAUAGCUUAUUUAUUUAUUACUCUGCAUCAUCCGAAAUAAUCCUUAUGAGUGGUGCAUUUUACACGAGAGAAAGAAAGAAAAUAAACGUAACAGCAAAAACAGAUGACACCCUGAUCAAAAAAACCAAUGCUAAGCAUCGGAUAAGUAGCUAAGUAGAUCGCGUUUCAGUGCAUGCAGACGUUGAAAACCACACUGUACACGACUCUAUGGUCAAUGUCUAAAUGUUAUGUUGAUAUCACAAGAAUACCAAGCUAAGAGCAACACUUGGCAAUGUGUAACUGACAGUGGCAGGUAACGUGACGCAUCAAAUAAAACUCCCACAAAGGACAGGUCAAGCUGUCUUUGCUGUAAAUGGCUGAAUAUAUAGUAUUCGCCACUACUGUGGUGUUCGGUACAUACCACACUUUCUAUCAUAAGUAUAGAAUUUUGAAAGGAAUACUUAUACCCUUGUUACACGGUCAUUCUUAACCGCGGUUCUCAAUAACCGCCGUUACUCUACCUAAACGCGGUUAUCCUAAACCACCGUUCGCUGCUGUUACACGGCGUGUAUCAUCACAGUUUGGUGUGAUUACGUGGUUUCAAUCCCGCGGAUUAAUAUUUACUAAAUUGAGCACUUAGAAACGUAUAAAAUGAUUGAAUAAUAUAUUCCUAACAUACUUUUCCUGUAUCGACCUUCUUUUUAAACUAUAUAGCCAAAUAUUCGCACGGUUCCGUCGACCAUAGAGUUAAUAUAGGAAGACUCUAGAGAACGUACUUGGCGCACCGUCAAUGGGAUUCUCCUAUCCCAGAGCGUGAUCGCCCGGGCGCAGCCAUCAGUUGGUCAUGGACAGUGUUAGUGGACGAAUUUCAGCCCCCUAACUACAGCGGAGCUGCUCCGUUUGUUGCCAACCCUGUGCAGUUACGUGGGAUGACAGACGGUGGAACGACCCGAUGGAGGCAACGGCGUCCACCGUACGAAGCGAGGCCAGCCGACGAGUACGUACGAAUCUUCGGGAUACCUGCAGAAUUGAGUAGUGCUAUCGGAAUCACAAGGUAAACGUUGCCAUAUCAAACGUGAAUCAUAUCUUAUCUAUGAGAUACCUGCGACACCGCCAACACUUUGUUUUCCACUGACACGGAUGAAGAUGUUUACCGCCUAUGACUUGUUGAAGUGGCGUUUGUAUGCUUUGCGAGCGAAAUCAAUAAAUCGUUACCCAUCGUAACAAAUUUAGGCAUGUAUUUCCGAAGGCAACAGAAUUCCAAAGAUGAAUACACACAGUAAACCGCCAUUUUCAUGCUGCUCUGCGAACUAACAGGAACCGGAAAUGGCAAAAACGAAACCACCCCCCAUUCCAUGCUCUGGUCUGUCGAGUUUCGUGAUAAUAAAGUGACGAACGAAUUGCAGCACACAAGCAAGUGAUGUAGUGGGAAAAUAUUUACUGCUUACUUGUUUAACGAAUACAUAUGAGGUACAGAUUGGGACAAAAGUUUACGGAACACGCGAGCGACGUACUUUUUCUUCGGUGCGACACCCUAGCGGCAGCCGGAAGUGGGUGAGUUCACUGUUUCGGAGGGAUGGAAGGGUGCGCUGUGAGCGACACACAGCGGUAACUCGUACUUCCCUGGCACACCCAAGCGACACUGGAGCGACCACUGCGUGUCGCUAACAGCGCAUCCGUCCACCCCUCCGAAACAGUGAACUCACCCGCUUCCGGCAGCCGCUAGGGUGUCGCACCGAAGAAAAAGUACGUCGCUCGCGUGUUUCGUAAACUUUUGUCGUAAACGGUUAAUCGACUCUCUACCGGUCUAACUGGAAGUGCCGCCAUGUUAAGUCUCGAUCCAAAUCUCGCCAAGUCCGCUAUUCAGUCGGCUACCGCCUAGUGCGCAUCGAUGUAGUCUAGUUAUACGCCUGACCAUCUGACAGCCGAGAUGGAGACGCGCGAUGACGGUAUCAGCGUGCCCGCUGUUUCUGCUGCCUUUAAAUGUAAAGUUGCACAUAGUGGUAUGUUUUUUAAAACUGCGUAGCGAGUUGCAACACAUGUUUAGUUGUGAAGGUGACAGUUUAUGCACGAUGUCCUACAAACUUAGCGCAUUCGAGUCCUGCUGCGCUUGCGCCGUACGCAUUUCUUGCGUGAGCAACGAGAUGGCGCCACAGGCGCCUCGGCUAGGCAAGUCUGUUCCAAUAGUGACAAGCAAAUGGGUCUACUAAGCUGCCUAGUCAGGCGGCUUCGCGGGCGCGAGGUAUUGGAACGCAGCCUCGGUUUGGCUUGGCAGCCUAAACCGAGGUUGCCUAGCUCCGUUUGCUCUAACCGCCGUUAGCGGCGUAACUGCAGUGAGGCCGGCCGUGUAACUGUGGCGAACGGCGGUUACUCGUGAGUAACCGCGGUUUGUGUACCCACGGUUGAGAAUGGCCGUGUAACAAGGCUAUUAAAAACUGAGAGGAUAAGUAUAUAGCAUAAAUCUUUAGGAUAGCCGUACUUCUAAGUCAUGAGAAAAUGUAACCGAUGAAAACGACAUAGUGUAGCACUGUAGUCACUUUGGUAGGCAGUGCUGAUUUAAUUAAUAUCUUAUGUUGAAGUCUAAAACUGCAAUAUGUGUAAACACGGGCUGGCUAAAGUCGCGUGAGCUGUCCACGCGCCGCAUGUUUCAGAUAUUGCUGUAUGGUGCUCGUGAAUCUAUAUGCCCGUCUGCGAAGGUGAGCGCAUUUUUUUCCGAGAUGAACUCGUUCAUAGUGCGACGUUGUGCCCUGAACUUAUAUUUCUAAGGGUGCUUCCAGUUAUGCUCUGCAUGUGAGCUGUGUCGCGUGCGCUGGCUAUGUUUGAACAGAAUAUUCUGAGGGGAGCAAUGUGAAAUUGUGUUUCUUCAUACUCAGCUUGGGUUGAGUCUUCUUUUUUUAAGCUUGAGUACGUGCGUGCAUAGCAUUGUUUAAUAAGUGUUGGAGCGUCAGUGCGUCUUGAGCUUCACCACAUAGCGCCACUAUGCUAUUGUCAUUCUGCUCGAUUUAUUUAAUUUCGUGUGUUCAAUGUGCGCUGUCUAAAAUAAAAACGGACCCAAGCUCUAUUGGGUUUAUUGAUCAUUCAAGUUGUUUUUCUCUCAAAUCAGCUUCUCAGCACAGCAUCAACUAUCGAUGUUUUCUCGAUCAUGUGCUUCUUCCUGCUUAUUUCGAAUACGUGCUGGCUUCCCUGAUUAGCAUCACGAUGAGUUUUUUUGCACUUCCUUUAAUACACAUUGAAAUGUUUUUUUUUUGUGUGGUUCUGUCACAAAAUUCGUUCUCAAGAAUGAACACGUUUCAUUGCAUCAUUUGCCAUUCUGCUUGAUUGAAACGAUUUUUAGGUUGAACUGCAAAGCACACACAUCCUAAACGAUCCUAAGCUUUUUCUCAAGGGUGGGCUUGACCUAACGCACGCAUGCAACCAGGUGAAGCCAACUUUACUCGUGUAGGGUGUGUUUUGAGAUGUGUACCAUAAACACGUUUUUUUAUUUCCCCUUAGCAACUGUGGCUGUGUGAACAGCGGGAGGCGGCGGCAUGUAAGCUGUUCAGCCUUCUAACGCUGGCUCUCUAGAAGUAUGAACCAGUUGGAUAGAAAUGGGUCUAGCGAUGAGUGAAAAGUGCAGUUGGAGCCUGUUAAGGAGCUCUAGACAUAAGUGACCAAUGAGAGGCUUGUAGUCAGAUGGGCCAAUGAGCACAACCACUUGUAGUUAGAUGAACCGACAGCAGUUGGUGUCUAUCGAGGGAGCUGAGUGACCAAUGAGCGCAAGAGAUGACCGGGACCAAUGAUCUCUCUGAUGCAGCUGAACCAACCCACAGCUGGACCAAGAGGCUGUUGUACCAAAUAAAGGUUGAAAUCAACAAUUGUCA